CACGUAGGGCGCAAGCGUUGUCCGGAAUUAUUGGGCGUAAAGAGCUCGUAGGCGGUCUGUUGCGUCCGCUGUGAAAACUCGGGGCUUAACCCCGAGCCUGCAGUGGAUACGGGCAGACUAGAGGUAGGUAUGGGAGAAUGGAAUUCCCGGUGUAGCGGUGAAAUGCGCAGAUAUCGGGAGGAACACCGGUGGCGAAGGCGGUUCUCUGGGCCUUACCUGACGCUGAGGAGCGAAAGCGUGGGGAGCGAACAGG
rnacentral:rRNA from 1 species